UACGUAGGUGGCAAGCGUUGUCCGGAUUUACUGGGCGUAAAGCGUAUGCAGGCGGGCCUUUAAGUAGGAAGUGGAAAGGUUGGAGCUCAACUCUAACACUGCUCCCUAUACUGGAGGUCUUGAAGUGCCGGAGAGGAAGAUGGAACUACAGCGUGUAGUCGGUGAAAUGCGUUGAGAUGUGUAGGAACACCGAAUGGCGAAAGCAAUCUUCUGGACUGG
rnacentral:rRNA from 1 species